rnacentral:rRNA from 1 species
AACGAACGCUGGCGGCAUGCCUAACACAUGCAAGUCGAACGAGACCUUCGGGUCUAGUGGCGCACGGGUGCGUAACGCGUGGGAACCUGCCUUUAGGUUCGGAAUAACUCAGAGAAAUUUGAGCUAAUACCGGAUGAUGUCUUCGGACCAAAGAUUUAUCGCCUUUAGAUGGGCCCGCGUUGGAUUAGCUAGUUGGUGGGGUAAAGGCCUACCAAGGCGACGAUCCAUAGCUGGUCUGAGAGGAUGAUCAGCCACACUGGGACUGAGACACGGCCCAGACUCCUACGGGAGGCAGCAGUGGGGAAUAUUGGACAAUGGGCGAAAGCCUGAUCCAGCAAUGUCGCGUGAGUGAUGAAGGCCUUAGGGUUGUAAAGCUCUUUUACCCGAGAUGAUAAUGACAGUAUCGGGAGAAUAAGCUCCGGCUAACUCCGUG